rnacentral:rRNA from 1 species
CCCUUAGAUGUUCUGGGCCGCACGCGCGCUACACUGACGAAUGCAACGAGCUUAUAACCUUGGCCGAAAGGUCUGGGUAAUCUCCAAAUUUCGUCGUGAUGGGGAUAGAUUAUUGCAAUUAUUAAUCUUCAACGAGGAAUGCCUAGUAAGCGCAAGUCAUCAGCUUGCGUUGAUUACGUCCCUGCCCUUUGUACACACCGCCCGUCGCUCCUACCGAUUGAAUGGUCCGGUGAAGCGUUCGGACCGUGGCCUUUGGACGGUUCGCCGUCUGUUGGCGGCGGGAAGUUCGUUAAACCUUAUCAUUUAGAGGAAGGAGAAGUCGUANCA